UGCAAUUACACUGUAUAUUAGUGUACUAGUACCUUUCAUACACUGUGCAGUGAUGAUCCCUUCUUCUCAACAUAGAUGUAGCAGAAAGGGAAAAGAUUCACAGAAGGGUGUGAAGGAUGGUCAGAUGUACGGAAUGGAUUCCUUAAGCACAACUUCGAAGUUACAGCUCUUCAUUCUGGAAAAUGAUCAGCUGAAGGAUGAUGGAUAACCCCAAGAUCAUCAGUGGCAUGAAAAUAUGCAGUGGUUGUUGGCUGCACUCUUAGAACGGGAGCUGAAUGUAGAACAAAACAGGAUAAAAAUCCCUCAGACUGACAGCCUGUGUUUUAGCUCAUGGUAAAACAUGCUUCAAAACAGGAAAAGCAGAAAGCUAUAUUUAGCUCCAGUAUUUUCUGAGCCAUCAGCAAAAAUAUUCAAAAUAUCAACGAGAAGAAAUGAUAAUAUGAACAGAAGACACUUUGUUCUCUGCAUUAGGUCAGAUAAUUUAAAAAUAAGUGUUUAAAUAUG
rnacentral:lncRNA from 1 species